rnacentral:rRNA from 1 species
UACGAAGGGGGCUAGCGUUGCUCGGAAUUACUGGGCGUAAAGGGCUCGUAGGCGGCCAACUAAGUCGGAUGUGAAAUCCCCAGGCUUAACCUGGGAACUGCAUCCGAUACUGGAUGGCUUGAAUCCGGGAGAGGGAUGCAGAAUUCCAGGUGUAGCGGUGAAAUGCGUAGAUAUCUGGAGGAAUACCGGUGGCGAAGGCGGCACGCUGGACCCGAUCUGACGCUGAGGCGCGAAAGCCAGGGGAGCAAACGGG